rnacentral:lncRNA from 1 species
CCUUCGUCUGGGCCCCAUCUGCCCCGGAGCUGUUGGCUGGAUGGGGGUAGGGAUCCGCGGGGAAGGGAGGCAGUGGCUUUGAUAGGAAGGUGAGCCUUGCAGCUGAGCAAACAGAUACACCAUUGUUUCCAGUCCCAGGUUCAGUGCAGUGGACACUGAGGCUCCAUCAGCAUAUAAUUUAUCCGACAAGAGGCUAACACUGCUCCUCUGUAUUUACACAGGUGCCUUCCUUCCCCAGGGAAGCCCCGGUGCUCUGCAAAUAUGCGUGACCACAUGUUUCCAUAACAUGGAUACUCUCAUCUCCAUCUUGCUGAGGGGGAAACUGAGGCCCAGAGAAGAUAUUGUUUCUGAAAUCCUGAUAAGCUUCCAGUGUUGUGAUCCAGUAGUCAAAGUGGACAGCCUUCUAAUGGGUGAGGUUUUUUAGAUUUUAGGUUAUAGUACAUAUUUAUACAUACAAGCUUUUCUUUAGGAAAAUGGAAUUAGUUUUUAAAAGUAUAAAAUAACUGUCAUUUUAAAAAGUACAAUUUUGAAUAACAUAUAAAGAACUAUGAACCCUUACAUAUAUCCAGAUAGCCCUCAUGAAUGCUGGAACAGUCAUUAUUAAUCAUAUUGGAAAAGAAGGGCAGCUAGUUGGCACAGUGAGAAGGACCUGGUUUCAAAUCUUGUCUUAAAGGAUGCCUAACUGUAUGAUCUUGGGCAAGUCAUAUAAUUCCAUUUGCCUAGUCUAGGCCCUUCCAAAUUAGAGUUACUACUAAGACAGAAUGUAAGAGUUGAAAAACAAAAUCAUUAAUGGAAAGGGAAGAUCAAGUAGAAGCAAAUGAUCUUAUUAAUGUCUUGAACUAUGGAAAUCUAGGUUUGAAUUUCUAUUUCUUCUCUGUUCAGAAAAAAAUAUCUUAAG